GAUGAACGCUGGCGGCGUGCCUAAUACAUGCAAGUCGAGCGAACGGACGAGAAGCUUGCUUCUCUGAUGUUAGCGGCGGACGGGUGAGUAACACGUGGAUAACCUACCUAUAAGACUGGGAUAACUUCGGGAAACCGGAGCUAAUACCGGAUAAUAUUUUGAACCGCAUGGUUCAAAAGUAAAAGACGGUCUUGCUGUCACUUAUAGAUGGAUCCGCGCUGCAUUAGCUAGUUGGUAAGGUAACGGCUUACCAAGGCAACGAUGCAUAGCCGACCUGAGAGGGUGAUCGGCCACACUGGAACUGAGACACGGUCCAGACUCCUACGGGAGGCAGCAGUAGGGAAUCUUCCGCAAUGGGCGAAAGCCUGACGGAGCAACGCCGCGUGAGUGAUGAAGGUCUUCGGAUCGUAAAACUCUGUUAUUAGGGAAGAACAUAUGUGUAAGUAACUGUGCACAUCUUGACGGUACUUAAUCAGAAAGCCACGGCUAACUACGUG
rnacentral:rRNA from 1 species